GAUGAACGCUAGCGGCAGGCUUAACACAUGCAAGUCGAACGGCAGCACGAGAGCUUGCUCUUGGUGGCGAGUGGCGAACGGGUGAGUAAUAUAUCGGAACGUAUCCAAUAAGUGGGGGAUAACUAAUCGAAAGUUACGCUAAUACCGCAUACGCCCGAGGGGAAAGUGGGGGACCGCAAGGCCUCACGCUAUAUGAGCGGCCGAUGUCGGAUUAGCUAGUUGGUAGGGUAAAGGCCUACCAAGGCGACGAUCCGUAGCGGGUCUGAGAGGAUGAUCCGCCACACUGGGACUGAGACACGGCCCAGACUCCUACGGGAGGCAGCAGUGGGGAAUAUUGGGCAAUGGAGGAAACUCUGACCCAGCGACGCCGCGUGAGGGAUGAAGGCCUUCGGGUUGUAAACCUCUUUCAGUAGGGAAGAAGCGAAAGUGACGGUACCUACAGAAGAAGCACCGGCUAACUAUGUG
rnacentral:rRNA from 1 species